GACGAACGCUGGCGGCGUGCUUAACACAUGCAAGUCGAACGGAAAGGCCCUGCUUUUGUGGGGUGCUCGAGUGGCGAACGGGUGAGUAACACGUGAGUAACCUGCCCUUGACUUUGGGAUAACUUCAGGAAACUGGGGCUAAUACCGGAUAGGAGCUCCUGCUGCAUGGUGGGGGUUGGAAAGUUUCGGCGGUUGGGGAUGGACUCGCGGCUUAUCAGCUUGUUGGUGGGGUAGUGGCUUACCAAGGCUUUGACGGGUAGCCGGCCUGAGAGGGUGACCGGCCACAUUGGGCCUGAGAUACGGCCCAGACUCCUCCGGGAGGCAGCAGUGGGAAUUAUUGCACAAUGGGCGAAGGCCUGAUGCAGCAACGCCGCGUGCGGGAUGACGGCUUUCGGGUUGUAACCCGUUUUCGCCUGUGACGAGGGGUGAGUGACGGUAAUGGGUAAAGAAGCACCGGCUAACUACGUG
rnacentral:rRNA from 1 species